rfam:Mesocricetus auratus contig136960, whole genome shotgun sequence.
GACCUUACCUGGCAGGGGAAAUACCAUGAUCAUGAAGGUGGUUUUCCCAGGGAGAGGCUUAUCCAUUGCACUCCGGAUGUGCUGAUCCUGCGAUUUCCCCAAAUGUGGGAAACUCGACUAAUAAAUUUAAUAAGCAAUUCUGAUUUGUAGUGUUUG